rnacentral:tRNA from 1 species
GCGGCGGUAGCUCAGUCGGUAGAGCGCAACCUUGCCAAGGUUGAGGUCGCGGGUUCGAAGCCCGUCCGCCGCU